ensembl:lncRNA LINC02643 long intergenic non-protein coding RNA 2643
AUUGUCCCAACAAGGCUGUGCAAGAAACAAUCAGGAAAGCUCAGCAGCAUAAAACUAUGAGAAAACUGGGUCUGAGAAUCCAGAUGUCCUGAGUGAGUAAAGGGAAAAUUUUCACUUCUUCCUAUGGAAGCCUGUCACCCCCCAACUCCAUCCUAGGCUGAGGAAGUCUGCGUUCUUCUCUCACGGAGCUGGAGAACCUUUCAAGUGAUUGGCCUAAGAACAGGCAGGAGACGCGAUCUGGACCAAUCAGAAACUUACAUUGAGAUGGUGGGCCUUGCUAUGUUGCUCAGGCUGGUCUUGAACUCCUGACCUCAAGUGAUCCUCCUGCCUCAGCCUCCUUGAGUAACUGGAAUUACAGGGCUCAUUCCAGUGGUCUAGGCUGCAGCUCCUGGUUGGAGUCACAUCCAGCCAUGCUUUCUGUGCCCUGAUCAGCUGGAUU